rnacentral:rRNA from 1 species
UACGGGGGGGGUAAGCGUUGUUCGGAAUUACUGGGCGUAAAGGGCUCGUAGGCGGCCAACUAAGUCGGACGUGAAAUCCCUCAGCUUAACUGGGGAACUGCGUCCGAUACUGGAUGGCUUGGAUUUGGGAGAGGGAUGCGGAAUUCCAGGUGUAGCGGUGAAAUGCGUAGAUAUCGGAAGGAACACCAGUGGCGAAAGCGGCUUCCUGGUCCAGCACCGACGUUCAGGCACGAAAGCGUGGGGAGCAAACAGG